AAAGGCCAUGCCACAUAAACUAUGAGGCAAAAGCACUGAUUGAAAAAAUCCUAACAUCAAAGCCUGGUGGUGAACGCAUUAUGCAAGAGUAUGGAAAAACCAAAUCUCUGACAGAUGCCACCAGAAGACAGAUGAUCAACAUACUUGCUGCUGAGAUGACAGAAACACAUGGGACAUCCCCCCCCAAAAGUGUCAGAGUGAUGUAUGCACAGGGGAUAGUAGCUUUGUUUCCCUAUCUAGAAGACCCAUACUCACAACAUGGAUAUGAUCAUUACUACGAUCCGG